GAUGAACGCUGGCGGCGUGCCUAAUACAUGCAAGUCGAGCGAACAGAUAAGGAGCUUGCUCCUUUGACGUUAGCGGCGGACGGGUGAGUAACACGUGGGUAACCUACCUAUAAGACUGGGAUAACUUCGGGAAACCGGAGCUAAUACCGGAUAAUAUUUCGAACCGCAUGGUUCGAUAGUGAAAGAUGGUUUUGCUAUCACUUAUAGAUGGACCCGCGCCGUAUUAGCUAGUUGGUAAGGUAACGGCUUACCAAGGCGACGAUACGUAGCCGACCUGAGAGGGUGAUCGGCCACACUGGAACUGAGACACGGUCCAGACUCCUACGGGAGGCAGCAGUAGGGAAUCUUCCGCAAUGGGCGAAAGCCUGACGGAGCAACGCCGCGUGAGUGAUGAAGGUCUUCGAAUCGUAAAACUCUGUUAUUAGGGAAGAACAUACGUGUAAGUAACUGUGCACGUCUUGACGGUACCUAAUCAGAAAGCCACGGCUAACUACGUG
rnacentral:rRNA from 1 species